AGUGAGAGCUGGACCAUAAAGAAGGCUGAUCGCCGAAGAAUUGAUGCUUUUGAAUUAUGGUGCUGGAGGAGACUCUUGAGAGUCUCAUGGACUGCAAGAAGAUCAAACCUAUCCAUUCUUAAGGAAAUCAGCCCUGAGUGCUCAUUGGAAGGACAGAUCGUGAAGCUGAGGCUCCAAUACUUUGGCCACCUCAUGAGAAGAGAAGACUCCCUUGAAAAGACCCUGAUGUUGGGAAAGAUGGAGGGCACAAGGAGAAGGGGACGACAGAGGACAAGAUGGUUGGACAGUGUUCUCGAAGCUACCAGCAUGAGUUUGACCAAACUGUGGGAGGCAGUGGAAGACAGGAGUACCUGGCGUGCUCUGGUCCAUGGGGUCACGAAAAGUCGGACACGACUAAACGACUAAACAACAACAACAA
rnacentral:lncRNA from 1 species